AUGCACCGCGCCACGGCGCUCUCUGGGGCUAUGCAUUUUGGCCGGUCAAAUUGUGUCAGGCGGCUGCCAGUCCCCGUGUUUUCGUAUCAGCGGAAACAUAGCGACCGCGCCUGUGCCUGGCUCUCCAUGCCUGGACGACGCGACCAUAGCAAACGCCUUACGAAUGAAUCGGAUACUCGUGAACAGACAGUAAGUGCUUCGAGAGACGCUGUGCGCACACUUCUCGCUGCCGAAAGCCGUCUCGUCCAGGAUGCAUUGAAGCGGACACACACAGCCUGCAGCGAAGAACAACGCGACGGACAUUGCUCUACUCCACUUGGCAUCCUCUUAGACCCCCUCGUGAGCCUUGGCCGACGCCUGGCAAUGCUGGUUGGCUGCACUCGUAUCUGAAGAGCCCGGCGACGUUUUGCUGCAGCGGUAGCCUUGAGUGCCAGCAUCAGCGCAGUUCCAUCCGUGCUGUUUUGCACACGAGCCAGCUCCUCUCCAAGGCCCUUCAGGACCUCGAGGUCAACAGCCAGAGCUGGAUCAGGCCAAAAAUAAAAAUAAGCUUUAGGAAAAAAAUUAUAAAACAUGGAGAAAAAGAUAUUACACCCUGAAAAGUACAAAAUCAAAACCCUGGAUUCCUGAGCAGCAUUACUUUCUGCAGGUGCUAGGGCCAGUGACACAAGUUCAUGUGAGGCUGACCACCAAAACAGUGUGAAUCUGGGUCCUUAAGGAGCUUGAACACCAUCAGGUGCCAAUGCUCUGCUCAUUGUGGACAAGUACUGCGACGAGGACAGCACCUGCCUUCGUGCAAUAUUUCUGGAUGCUUCUUCAUUGUGACUAAUGUGAAACUAUUGUGCAAUUUAACCUUUGUUUACUUCACUAAAAUAAUAAAUGAACCCAACAAUUACAAGAGCAAGCUUGGAAGUGUUGAGACUUCAUAUUACUUUGACUAAAAAAUAAGAAAAAUAUAAUUUUUUAAUGCAGGAA
rnacentral:lncRNA from 1 species